AAUAAGAUUGUACGAUUAAAUGUUAGUGAGGUUUCUCACGCGAACAAGCAUACCAAACUAUCGAAAAACAACGGCAAAGAACAGAGUGAGUUCAACAAAAGUAUUUCUGCCCCUGACUUCGACACCAGAUCUUGUUUCUCAGAACGUAGUUUAAAGAUGGAGACGAGGGACUUUGUCGAGUGCCCGGUGAAUGUAGACAGUAGUUCAAGCUCGCAUCGUCCCCAUGACAUGACUGCUACAGGAAAAAAUGUCUUGAAGAUAACUGUCACGACAAACAUGACGCAGAAGAUGUCUACAGACGCCCAGAGAAAUCCAGAAGGUGUACCAAAGCGAACUUAAGAGGUCAGCUAGGAUCAUCAGCGGGUAACUUUACGACGAGGAUUCCGGAAAGUUCCAUCAAGAAGUCAGUUACGACGAGUAUGAAUGUGUCCAAGAGAAAACCGUUGUCGGAAUCAUUGAAGACAAAUAUCAGCUGUUGAGAGCUGUACAACCUUGCCUGGAGAAAGAACGAGGCAAGAUAGCAUAAAAACCAGCGAAAGGUCACCAGAUCUUCGUUUUCAAUCUUCCAGGUUGAGUCACCGUAAGAAGGCGCUUCUUUCCAAAACGACUCUAAUGAUGUUUGUGUUGAGUGUCGCAACUCUUGUCUUCUAUGUCCCUUACAUCGCCGUGAUGGCAUUUGGCAGAAACAACAAGAACACUCUUACCACCACCCAGCGACUGAACAUGAAUUUAGUCUCGCGAUGCUUUCCAUUCCUCAACAGUGUCAUCAACCCUUUUAUCUACAGCUUCUGCAAUCCAAAGUUUCGUCAGGAGUGUCGUCUUUUUCUGACGAAGAUCCGUAACACCCUUUAUCCACAAAUGUGAUUUUUCCUUUUGCAAAACAAUUUUCCUAUUUUUAGUAUGUGGAUGGAGCAAAGACAUUUAGUGUGUUUACUAACCGUACAUUAUUCACACUUGAAAAAAAUCAAGAAUUCUGCGAAAGUGUAAACUGAUUAUCUUACAUUUUUACACGGUAUGGAUUAUCUAACAACCUAGAUUUCCUGAACGAACUUCGUUUGGACUUCAUAAAGCAUGUAUAUAUUCUAUUACUGUAUCUGAGUUAGGUCGAUUGUAGAUAGAGUGCAUAACACCCUGACACCUGUGUAUCAAUGAAUUCGGAGGAUAUUUACUCAAAUCGCUGUACCAGCCGGUGUUUCAUCAAAGGUGUUCCCCUUUGAUAACUCUUAUCUUGGUGAAACAGGGCAAAAAUCUUAAUUCUCAAUUCUCUUGAACACAAAUUGUUUUUCUAGACUUAACAAAUAAUGGAAAUAAUUGUACAAAAAUGUUUGAUAUAUACUAUUAUUGAUUAUCUGAAUGAAAGGAAACGUUUAAAUCGAAAAUGAAUAUUGCAGUCAACAU